CUACCAUGGCUUUCACGGGUAACGGAGGAUUAGGGUUCGAUUCCGGAGAGGGAGCCUGAGAAACGGCUACCACAUCUAAGGAUGGCAGCAGGCGCGUAAAUUACCCAAUCCUGAUUCAGAGAGGUAGUGACAAGAAAUAACGGACCGGGGUCUUUGGACUUCGGGACCGCAAUGAGCCGAAUGUWCACCCCUUAGCGGGAACCGAUUGGAGGGCAAGUCUGGUGCCAGCAGCCGCGGUAAUUCCAGCUCCAAUAGCGUAUAUUAAAGUUGUUGCAGUUAAAAAGCUCGUAGUUGGAUUUCUGGGAGGGUGCUAAUGCCCGCCGUAGCGCGCGCGCAGCAGCGCCCUUCCAUCCUUUUGUUAACCCCUCUUGGCAUUCAUUUGUUGGUGGCGGGUUCAGAUAUUUUACCUUGAGAAAAUUAGAGUGUUUCAGGCAGGCUAGGCCGGAAUAUAUUAGCAUGGAAUAAUGGAAUAGGACUAUGGUCUCUUUGUUGGUUUGAGGGACUGCAGUAAUGAUUAAUAGGGAUAGUUGGGGGCAUUAGUAUUUAACUGUCAGAGGUGRAAUUCUCGGAUUUGUUAAAGACUAACUUAUGCGAAAGCAUUUGCCAAGGAUGUUUUCAUUAAUCAA
rnacentral:rRNA from 1 species